AAUGAACGUUGGCGGCGUGGAUUAGGCAUGCAAGUCGAGCGAGAAGCCUUCUUCGGAAGGUGGACAGCGGCAAACGGGGUAGUAAGGCAUCGGUUACGUACCCCCAGGACCGGGAUAGCCGCGGGAAACUGCGGGUAAUACCGGAUAAUAUCUCCGGAUCAAAUGGUGAGAUUCCGCCUGGGGACCGGCUGAUGUGAUACCAGCUAGUUGGUGAGGUAACGGCUCACCAAGGCUUAGACGUCUAGGGGGUGUGAGAGCAUGGCCCCCACCACUGGGACUGAGACACUGCCCAGACACCUACGGGUGGCUGCAGUCGAGAAUCUUCGGCAAUGGGCGAAAGCCUGACCGAGCGACGCCGCGUGCGGGAUGAAGGCCCUUGGGUUGUAAACCGCUGUCAGAGGGGAUGAAAUUUCGUAGGGCUAUCCCUACGAUUUGACAAAGCCUCAGAGGAAGCCCGGGCUAAGUACGUGCCAGCAGCCGCAGUAAAAC
rnacentral:rRNA from 1 species